rnacentral:rRNA from 1 species
UAGGGAAUCUUCGGCAAUGGACGAAAGUCUGACCGAGCAACGCCGCGUGAGUGAAGAAGGUUUUCGGAUCGUAAAACUCUGUUGUUAGAGAAGAACAAGGACGUUAGUAACUGAACGUCCCCUGACGGUAUCUAACCAGAAAGCCACGGCUAACUACGUGCCAGCAGCCGCGGUAAUACGUAGGUGGCAAGCGUUGUCCGGAUUUAUUGGGCGUAAAGCGAGCGCAGGCGGUUUCUUAAGUCUGAUGUGAAAGCCCCCGGCUCAACCGGGGAGGGUCAUUGGAAACUGGGAGACUUGAGAGCAGAAGAGGAGAGUGGAAUUCCAUGUGUAGCGAUGAAAUGCGUAGAUAUAUGGAGGAACACCCGUGGCGAAGGCGGCUCUCUGGUCUGUAACUGACGCUGAGGCUCGAAAGCGUGGGGAGCAAACAGG